rnacentral:rRNA from 1 species
GAUGAACGCUGGCGGCGUGCCUAAUACAUGCAAGUCGAGCGAACGGACGAGAAGCUUGCUUCUCUGAUGUUAGCGGCGGACGGGUGAGUAACACAUGGAUAACCUACCUAUAAGACUGGGAUAACUUCGGGAAAUCGGAGCUAAUACCGGAUAAUAUUUUGAACCGCAUGGUUCAAACGUGAAAGACGGUCUUGCUGUCACUUAUAGAUGGAUCCGCGCUGCAUUAGCUAGUUGGUAAGGUAACGGCUUACCAAGGCAACGAUGCAUAGCCGACCCGAGAGGGUGAUCGGACACCCGGGAACAGAGACACGGUACAGACUCCGAGGGGAGGCAGCAGUAGGGAAUCUUCCGCAAUGGGGGAGAGCCUGACGGAGGAACGCCGGGUGAGUGAUGAAGGUCUUCGGAUCGUAAAACUCUGUUAUUAGGGAAGAACAAAUGUGUAAGUAACUGUGCACAUCAUGACGGUACCUAAUCAGAAAGCUCCGGCUAACUACGUG